rnacentral:rRNA from 1 species
GACGAACGCUGGCGGCGUGCUUAACACAUGCAAGUCGAACGGAAAGGCCCUGCUUUUGUGGGGUGCUCGAGUGGCGAACGGGUGAGUAACACGUGAGUAACCUGCCCUUGACUUUGGGAUAACUUCAGGAAACUGGGGCUAAUACCGGAUAGGAGCUCCUGCUGCAUGGUGGGGGUUGGAAAGUUUCGGCGGUUGGGGAUGGACUCGCGGCUUAUCAGCUUGUUGGUGGGGUAGUGGCUUACCAAGGCUUUGACGGGUAGCCGGCCUGAGAGGGUGACCGGCCACAUUGGGACUGAGAUUCGGCCCAGGCUCCUACGGGAGGCAGCAGUGGGGAAUAUUGCACAAUGGGCGGAAGCCUGAUGCAGCAACGCCGCGUGCGGGAUGACGGCCUUCGGGUUGUAAACCGCUUUCGCCUGUGACGAAGCGUGAGUGACGGUAAUGGGUAAAGAAGCAACGGCUAACUACGUG